GCGGAGGUGGCAGAGUAGCUAUGCGUCCGGCUGCAGACCGGUUUACGGGGGUGCAAAUCCCUCCCUCCGCU
rnacentral:tRNA from 1 species